rnacentral:lncRNA from 1 species
GUACAGGCAAGGCACUGGAGCCCACAUAUACCUAAAAAAAACUGUAAGGCCAGCAAUAAAGCUAGCGUCUUUGUUCAAUGGUGGAGUCAAAGUUGGGGGCUUGUCAAAGUUGGGGGCGGCAAGCACUGGGGCACUACAAAGUAGCGCUUUGGCGGACUCGAGCAUAGUUACAGUCCUGGGACCACUUAUAUGGUACUUUGGGACUAAGCAGAGAUGUAAGGGGAGCUACUACCAUCGAAAAUGUCUUACAGAAUGUACGAUAGUACCCUGCCACCCCCAGGAAUCUGUGCAACUGGCGGCGAGUCGUGGUAGCAGGAAAAGCAACAAUUGAUCCACUUGCCAGUUACUGGGCGCACUUGACCUCGUCCCACCUGCUUCCCUAAGUAAGUCACAGUAGCCUUCCCAAACUUACACUUGGCCAAAUUGAGGGUUAAAAGAAGCAUUCUCCAACCUCUGAAACACCCUUUAAGGUGGCGAGAUGAUCAGAUGAAUGAAUCACCACAUCAAUGAUAGUCAGACAGGAAAUGUCCAGAAGAAGGCUGAUGGGCUUUACCUCAGUGUGAAACAGAGGGAAUACUACCUCUACCGUUUGACAGACGGCAACAAGAGGAAGACAAGGCAGCCUUGACAACUGCCAUUGUUCAACUUGACGAGCAGCAGGCAGAGUUUUGGCUCCCCACAGAGGAUAAGCUGCUCAAUACUGACAACUUUGUGUGGCCAUGGGAGAGACUAGGCACCAGCAACAGCCAUCUUGCAAUCAAAAAGGCAAUCUUGGACAGACGGACGUUGCUGAACAGACUGCAGGAGGAAGAGAAGAUCCUGGUGCAGGAGAUGAAGAGGGACUGGGAGAGCCUACAAAGAGCAGUGGGAACUGGAAGCGCUGGGGGAGCCUACAAAGAGCAGUGGGAACUCUGGAGGCUUUGUCCCUGCAUCUGCAAGAUCAGAGCAAUGCAGUGGAGUUAUCAGAGAGAGGGAGGAAUGGCCUUUUCUGCCUCCUGAAGAGAAGAUUGAGUGAACCGACACAAGACCAAGACAACAGCAGGAAUACCUACCACAAGCUGAUUCUGGGAGAAGGGGCUAUUUUUGAUGACUCUGAUGAAGAUGAGAACUCAGAUGAAGAUGUAUGUCCUAUUGCUGAGAGCUCAGAUGAAGAUAGAAGUCCUAUUGCUGAGAGCUCAGAUGAAGAUAUAAGUCCUAUUGCUGAGAGCUUAGAUGACGACUGCUGUGUUUUCUGAAAUCAUACACCACCCCUGCCUCUCUCGCUCGCUCUCUCUCGCUCUCUCGCUCUCUCUCUCUCUCUCUCUCUCUCUCUUGCAGGAGAGAGAGAAGGCUGCCACCACCUCCCUCGGGAGCAGCCUAGUCUCCCGAUGUUGACCCCUGACCCCUCACCUUCUGAACCCUUCCAGGGAAAUGUAAUUUGACUGAUACGCUAGUGGAGAAGGAAUGUCUAAUUUCAGCGCAUUUGUUGCCAUGUUUCCUCUCCUCCGUUUCUUCUGGUCCUAUGGCGACUAUGGCGACAUCAGCAGCAACUCAGAAUGUUGGCUUAGGACUUCUUUACUGAGGAAUGUGGUUGUUGUUAAUGUUAUUUUGUUAUUAUAUAUAUUUUUUGUAUUUUCUAUGCUGCUCGGAUUGUGAUUUUGGUGUAAUUUUGAGUUGCAAAAUAGUCCUUGGUCUCAAUUGGACUGCUUAAAUAAAUAAAGUAAAAGUCUUAAUAAAUAAAUCAAUAACAGGUCUGUACAUAGUAUGAAUAAAUUAUUUUGAUGUAAUAAAAAGUGUAAUACAUUGCUGCCCCUUUCAGCAUUGUAAGUACAUCACCUAUCUGAAAUGUGACUUGCCAAAUCUAACAGUAGCCUAUCAAUCGUUUUUAUGUUUGACUUUAAAUCAGUUAACGGUGUAUCAAUGAAAAUCUGAUAUUGAGUGGAAUGUACUGCUGCC